UACGUAGGGGGCUAGCGUUGUCCGGAAUCAUUGGGCGUAAAGCGCGCGUAGGCGGCCCGGUAAGUCCGCUGUCAAAGUCAAAGGCUCAACCUUUGAAUGUCAGUGGAUACUGCCGGGCUAGAGUCCGGAAGAGGCGAGUGGAACUCCUGGUGUAGCGGUGGAAUGCGCAGAUAUCAGGAAGAACACCGACGGCGAAGGCAGCUCGCUGGGACGGUACUGACGCUGAGACGCGAAAGCGUGGGGAGCGAACAGG
rnacentral:rRNA from 1 species